rnacentral:rRNA from 1 species
AAUAUUGCGCAAUGGAGGGAACUCUGACGCAGCGACGCCGCGUGAGCGAUGAAGGUUUUCGGAUCGUAAAGCUCUGUCCUUGGGGAAGAAGGUCUUCGGACUUGACGGUACCUAAGGAGGAAGCCCCGGCUAACUACGUGCCAGCAGCCGCGGUAAUACGUAGGGGGCAAGCGUUGUCCGGAAUUAUUGGGCGUAAAGGGUGCGUAGGCGGCCUUUUAAGUCAGGUGUGAAAUCCCAAGGCUUAACCGUGGGUUUGCAUUUGAAACUGUUAGGCUUGAGGGCAGGAGAGGAAAGCGGAAUUCCCAGUGUAGCGGUGAAAUGCGUAGAUAUUGGGAGGAACACCAGUGGCGAAGGCGGCUUUCUGGACUGCACCUGACGCUGAGGCGCGAAAGCUAGGGGAGCGAAC